rnacentral:rRNA from 1 species
CCUACGGGAGGCUGCAGUAGGGAAUAUUGCUCAAUGGGGGAAACCCUGAAGCAGCAACGCCGCGUGGAGGAUGAAGGUUUUCGGAUUGUAAACUCCUUUUGUUAGAGAAGAUAAUGACGGUAUCUAACGAAUAAGCACCGUCUAACUCCGUGCCAGCAGCCGCGGUAAUACGGAGGGUGCAAGCGUUACUCGGAAUCACUGGGCGUAAAGAGCGCGUAGGCGGGAUAGCAAGUCAGAUGUGAAAUCCUAUGGCUUAACCAUAGAACUGCAUUUGAAACUGUUAUUCUAGAGUAUGUGAGAGGUAGGUGGAAUUCUUGGUGUAGCGGUAAAAUCCGUAGAGAUCAAGAGGAAUACUCAUUGCGAAGGCGACCUACUAGAACAUAACUGACGCUGAUGCGCGAAAGCGUGGGGAGCAAACAGGAUUAGAUACCCCUGUAGUC